UGAUUUGUCUGAUACUCCAUAGUUGGGGAGUGGCAAAGCCAGUAUCUGAACCCAGGUAAAGGCUCCAGCCCCAGGCUCUAUCUACUAAGCGCACUGUCCCUCGAAAGUGAGGGACAUGAGGCUCGACGUCACUCCUCAUUCUGGCCCCAAUCACGUCUUUUGUCGACUGAUAUUGAAGACAUUUCCCAGAGUUGUCAUGAGAACGAAAUGCCAAGGAUCUGGUUCCCAUGCACAGGUGCUGGGUGAUGGAAGGUGCAGAUGCCCAGACAGGCCUAAGAGGGCCAGCAAUCCCGCAGCUGCGCCUCUCCGCCGCUAGGGGGCAGACGAGGGCCUGGAAACCGGCUCAGCCACUGAUGGAUGAGGCAGCCCUGUUGACACGUGAGGUCCUGCCUUUCUCCUGCGGUGCACUACUCUAUCGGCUGACGGCACCACAAUGUAUGCAUCCAUUCUCCACACACGGGCUUAUCAUUUGGUUUUUCCCAGUUUUUGCUACCAGAAAUCUCCCUGCAAUAAAAGUUUUUCCUAUGUG